UGCAGUCGAGCGGAAACGAUCCCAGCUUGCUGGGAGGCGUCGAGCGGCGGACGGGUGAGUAAUGCAUAGGAAUCUGCCCGAUAGUGGGGGAUAACCUGAGGAAACUCAGGCUAAUACCGCAUACGUCCUACGGGAGAAAGCAGGGGCUCUUCGGACCUUGCGCUAUCGGAUGAGCUUAUGUCGGAUUAGCUGGUUGGUGAGGUAAUGGCUCACCAAGGCGACGAUCCGUAGCUGGUCUGAGAGGAUGAUCAGCCACAUCGGGACUGAGACACGGCCCGAACUCCUACGGGAGGCAGCAGUGGGGAAUAUUGGACAAUGGGGGCAACCCUGAUCCAGCCAUGCCGCGUGUGUGAAGAAGGCCCUCGGGUUGUAAAGCACUUUCAGUGAGGAAGAAAGCUUGUCGGUUAAUACCCGGCAAGGACGACUUCACUCACAGAAGAAGCACCGGCUAACUCCGUGCCAGCAGCCGCGGUAAUACGGAGGGUGCGAGCGUUAAUCGGAAUUACUGGGCGUAAAGCGUGCGUAGGCGGCUUGAUAAGCCGGUUGUGAAAGCCCCGGGCUCAACCUGGGAACGGCAUCCGGAACUGUCAGGCUAGAGUGCAGGAGAGGAAGGUAGAAUUCCCGGUGUAGCGGUAAAAUGCGUAGAGAUCGGGAGGAAUACCAGUGGCGAAGGCGGCCUUCUGGACUGACACUGACGCUAAGGUACGAAAGCGUGGGUAGCAAACAGGAUUAGAUACCCUGGUAGUCCACGCCGUAGACGAUAUCGACUAGCCGUUGGGGUCCUCGAGACCUUUGUGGCGCAGUUAACGCACUAAGUCGACCGCCUGGGGAGUACGGCCGCAGGGUUAAAACUCAGAUGAAUUGACGGGGGCCCGCACAAGCGGUGGAGCAUGUGGUUUAAUUCGAUGCAACGCGAAAAACCUUACCUACCCUUGACAUCGUGCGAACUUGGUAGAGAUACCUUGGUGCCUUCGGGAGCGCACAGAC
rnacentral:rRNA from 1 species